GCCUCUCACCUCUCUGUGUUUCUCCUCCACUCCCCACGAUUCCCCCAACCAAACACUUCCCUCCUCUCUCCUCAAGUCGUGCUGGCCGCCUCCCUGCCGCUGCCGCCGAUGGAGAAAGCAAGCGUCGUCCCCGCCGCCUCCACUGCCGCCAGCCCCUGCCGCCAGUCGAGAGGCGACAAAAUAUCGGAGCAUGUACUCGCGGCGGAGGCUGUUCUCGCUCCUGCGGCACGCUCGCCUCGCCCCUGCAGGUCAUCUUGCCCCCGAGCCGCCUUCGAGGAGCUUCAGCCCGCCCCGCGCGGCCAUCGGCGCGGCCACCUCAGGUGAGCGCUUCCCCGUGCCUCCACCUCAGGUCCAGCCUGAUUCGAGCUUCCUGGACAGCCACAAGGCAUGCCUUGGCCGCCAUUGAGCAGAAUGCCGCUGGUGGCUGCAGCGGCGACAGAGUGCCGUCUCAGCGGAGAAGGGAGUAUCAAGCGAGACAUCAUCAUCAACCUGAGCGAAGGUCACAGGUGCCGCGUGCUCCUGCACAGCAACCUGCUGGCGCGCUACACACUGCAGGCAGUGGGAGGGCCGAGGAGACCCACCCUCCUGCACGAGGAUGCUCCAAGGAAAUUCAACCAAGCCUUUGAGCUCUUUGAUCCCAACGCCUUCUUCCGAAGCUACUCGGUCUGCCGCGACACCAUCCAUCAGAUGCUCGCGCAGACGCCGCUCCUCAGAUUCUAGUGAUGGUCACUUCAGUUUUAAGGGUUCAACGUGUGCCGCUAUACUGAUUGGGCAAGCAGCUGUUGUUCUUGGCCUGAGCAGCAACUCUGUAUUGGCUCAGGAUGAUUUGGUUGCUCUAGCAGCUACAAGUGAGCAAGCUGAUGUAAAUGUUACUGGCCUACGUUGUAUAGAAGAUGGUUUAGUGAUCUCAAAUGAUCACAGUAUCAAAUGGCGAAUGUGCACCAAUAAAGCAUGGGAGUUUUUCCUGCAAGCAAGGAAAACUAGAUGAGGCUGAGAAGUUAUUCAAAGCAGCCCUACAGGAAGCUAAAGAAGCGUUUGGACUGAGAGAUCCACAUGCUGCAUCGGCUCUGAACAACUUGGUAUGUGUUACAGUUGACUAUGAACUAAAGAUUGAAAUAACAUUCUAUUUUCCUUUCUAAUGUAUAGAACUGCAGUACCCAUUCAAGUCCAUAAGCUAGAUUGUAUGAGGUUUAAGAUCUGUUUGGGUUCAUAGCCAAACAUUACCAGACUUUGCUACACUCCAAGCUAGGAAAGUUUAACCGAGUUAGGAAUGGGUUUUGUUCAUAGUUAGUAACAUACAGUAUUUGUGAAAAACGCUCUCAUAGUUGUACAAGUACUAAACAUUGAAGAUUGCAUUGCAGCUCAUCAGUAUGCCUUCCUUGCAAUCUUUGAAGCCUAUUAAAUUCGGACGUGUUAUUUUUUCUGUACAAGUUUGUUUGUGUCAAGUACAUGCUAAUUUAUGUUUCGAGGGGUGCUCAUAUACUUCCUCGGCAACAUGGGAAGCUUUGACAUUUGGUCUAGUUGUCUCUAUGGGUUAGCGACUUAGCAUACAUGUUGUAAUCAACUUUCACAUUUGCUUCUCCGACAAGUAAGGUCUGUUUUCAUUCAUACGUAGAAGAUAGCAACAGAGUGGGAAGGUUUGUGCAGAGAUCUUACCUCGAGGUUAUCAUAGAUGCGCACAAUAUGACACUGUAUUGGCCAAAAAUAGGGAGCUACAAGAUGAACUUUUAAAGGUUAAGACCUCACUGUUUGCUUCAACGAAGAGAUUUGAGGAGUUGCAAAAGGUAAUUUUGGGGCAAAUUUCCAUUGCUGCAGGAUAAUGAGAUGUUGAAGCGGCGGACUGAAUCCAUGACACCGAAGUGCAAUUGCAGCAGAUUAUCUCAAAUUUUCCUUUUCAUUUUUCUUAUUAUUGGAUGAGAAUAGGUAGAAUGAGGAACUGUGUGAUAGUAGAUACAACUGUAGUAAAAAGAAAUUUAUGUUUGCAAUUGUUAAUGACAUACAUACUUGCAUGUUCUUUGAAGUGGUCAAUCAUGAGUACCAAUGCAUAAUGAUGGGGUUUUGGCUCA